rnacentral:rRNA from 1 species
GUGAGUUCCGCUGGGGUCCAGUUGAGCAGAGAGUCCUCGUUGACUCUGAAGAUCGAUUAGUUGCUAACUUCCAAACUCCAAACUCAACAACUGCCGAUGACUUUUUUACUGCAGCGAACUUUCUCGCUUACGGUAAUCAGUUGUUUGCAGUUCGUGUAGUCAACACAACAGAUGCAGCUAACGCAAUUACGGCUGGCAAU